GUAUCCCAACCAGAGUUAACUUACUUAAGAGGUGUGUCCAUCUGGCCUCUAGGACUUUUUCCUGUCCGUUAUGUUCCUUGCACACUGAGUCUACCUCUCAGAUCUUUGUGACAUGUGAGAUGGCGUCUUCAAUUUAGUAUAAGAUCUUUAGGUGGUUGGGGCGAUAUAUUGUUUUUCCUGAGCAUAUUUUAGCUCUUUUUCAACUUUUUAGCUCCCCGUAUGGUGUUUUAGGAUUAGAGGGAGGUUAACGAUGGUUUGUCAUGUCGUGGUUUGGUCUAUUUGGAUAUCUCAUAAUGAUAUAGUUUUUUUUCUGGAUCUUUAAAGAUUAAGAAAUAAGUGGAAGACAAGUGCAUUAUCUUGGCUUGGAAAUGAUAUUUUGGUAGGUCAAUGGACGACUCAUGUGUCAUCUCGGCCAAGCUGGAGAAUCCUUUCGUGUUUUUUUACAAAUAGGGGGUGUGUGAUUUCUACUUCCAUUAGUAGUGUUCUUAUUGAUUUCUUUUGUGAUUUUGUUGGUUCUUUUGUUGUUCCUUU
rnacentral:lncRNA from 1 species